CCUCAUCAUAGGUCUUGGGAUCAUCACCAUGAGUCCCAUUUUCUAUGAGGAACAUUUUCUCUACUUCUUCUUGUAUAGUACCUAAGUAUCUUUCAGGAGGAUGAAAAACCCUAGUUGAUCUACGAGGUGGAAGAUGUUGUGUUAGAAUUGGUUUUGAUUGAUUUGGUUCCUCAGGUUCUUUAGCUCAUUGUUCUUGGGAGACAUUUUUCUUGAGC
rnacentral:lncRNA from 1 species